GUGGGGAAUUUUGGACAAUGGGCGAAAGCCUGAUCCAGCGACGCCGCGUGCGGGAGGAAGCCCUUCGGGGUGUAAACCGCUGUCAGGGGGGAAGAACCGGCUCGGGCGAAUAGUUCGGGCAACUGACGGUACCCCCAGAGGAAGCGCCGGCUAACUCCGUGCCAGCAGCCGCGGUAAUACGGAGGGCGCAAGCGUUGUUCGGAAUUACUGGGCGUAAAGGGGGCGCAGGUGGCUUGGUAAGUCCUAUGUGAAAGCCCGCGGCUCAACCGCGGAAUUGCAUAGGAUACUGCCGAGCUUGAGACGGGUAGAGGCGAGUAGAAUUCCCGGUGUAGCGGUGGAAUGCGUAGAUAUCGGGAAGAAUACCAGUGGCGAAGGCGGCUCGCUGGGCCCGUUCUGACGCUCAGGCCCGAAAGCGUGGGGAGCAAACAGG
rnacentral:rRNA from 1 species